rnacentral:tmRNA from 1 species
GGGGCUGAAUUGGUAUCGACAAUUAAGGGAAAUUAUGGUGCAAGUCGGAUUUUCGAUCCGUAUAAUCGGAAUAUUAAAAAUAAUAACUGCUAUUAAAAAUUUAUUUAGUAAUCAAAAAACUUUAGCAUUUGCUUAAUGUUUUGAUAUUAUAAAAUGUUACUAAACUUUUUAUAAAAAACUAUAGUUGCUCUUUUUAAGUCUAGUCUUUUUUGUUCAGUUUGCUAUGAAAGUAGCUAAGCUUGUGAAUGAAUUAUAAAUUUUGUUUANUUGGACGUGGGUUCNAAUCCCACCAGUUCCAGNA